GACGUAGGGCGCGAGCGUUGUCCGGAUUUAUUGGGCGUAAAGAGCUCGUAGGCGGCUUGUUGCGUCGACUGUGAAAACCCGCGGCUUAACUGCGGGCCUGCAGUUGAUACGGGCAGGCUAGAGUUCGGUAGGGGAGACUGGAAUUCCUGGUGUAGCGGUGAAAUGCGUAGAUAUCAGGAGGAACACCGGCGGUGUAGACGGCUUGCUAGACCACCCCUGACGCUGAGGCACGAAAGCGUGGGUAGCAAACAGG
rnacentral:rRNA from 1 species